GGCUGAACACUCUCCUGUGACCGAUAGCGAACCAGUACCGUGAGGGAAAGGUGAAAAGCACCCCGGGAGGGGAGUGAAACAGUACCUGAAACCGUGCGCCCGCAAGGCGUCGGAGCAGGCUUGUCCUGUGACGGCGUGCCUUUUGUAGAAUGAGCCAGCGAGUUGCUGGCACGCGGCGAGGUUAAGCUGGGAAGCGAGCCGGAGCGAAAGCGAGUCCGAAACGGGCGAUCCCAGUCGCGUGCCGCAGACGCGAAGCCGGGUGAGCUAUCCCUGGGCAGGCUGAAGCGGGGGUAAGACCCCGUGGAGGGCCGAACGGACGUACGUUGAAAAGUGCGCCGAUGACCUGGGGAUAGGGGUGAAAGGCCUAUCAAACCCGGAGAUAUCUCGUUCUCCCCGAAAUAGCUUUAGGGCUAGCGUCGAGAGUUAACCGCCGGAGGUAGAGCACCGGAUCGAUGAGGGGGCUUCGCCGCCUACCGAUUCGAACCGAACUCCGAAUGCCGGUCGGUCCAUAUCUCGGCAGUCAGAGCAUGUGGGCUAAGCUGUGUGCUCGAGAGGGAAACAGCCCAGACCGCCCGCUAAGGCCCCCAAUUCUCAGUUAAGUGGCAAAGGAUGUGCGUCCGCGCAGACAACCAGGAGGUUGGCUUAGAAGCAGCCACCCCUUCAAAGAGUGCGUAACAGCUCACUGGUCGAGUGGACAUGCGCCGACAAUACACGGGGCUAAACUGAGAGCCGAAGCGGCGGCAAUGAGAUUUCAUUGGGUAGGGGAGCGUCCCCAGCGGGGCGAAGCCGGAGGGUCACCGACGGUGGACUGCUGGGGAGUGAGAAUGCUGGCAUGAGUAGCGAGAGACGAGAGAGUAACUCGUCCGCCGUAAACCCGAGGUUUCCUGGGCGAGGCUAAUCCUCCCAGGGUCAGUCGGGGGCUAAGCCGAGGGCGGAAGCCGUAGGCGACGCGCAGCAGGUGGACAUUCCUGCACCGGAGAUGCACCGUCACGACCGACGGGGCGACGGAUUGGGGUGGCUCGGCGGGGUUCUGGACGUCCCCGUGAUGGAGCGCGGCCCUGAGACCAUGCAAAUCCGGUCUCCACGAGGGCGAGGCUCCGGACGAAGCGCUUGAGCGAAGCGAGUGAGCCCGUGGUCCCCAGAAAAACCCCUAGGCAGGGGCAUCUCCGCCCGUACCGCAAACCGACACAGGUGGGUGGGUAGAACAUACCGAGGCGAUCGGGUCAACCAUGGUCAAGGAACUCGGCAAAAUGGCCCCGUAACUUAGGGAUAAGGGGUGCCUCAGAAAUGAGGCCGCAGAGAAUAGGCUCAAGCAACUGUUUAGCAAAAACACAGGUCUAUGCGAAACCGAAAGGUGAGGUAUAUGGGCUGACGCCUGCCCGGUGCUGGAAGGUUAAGAGGAGAGGUUAGCGCAAGCGAAGCUUUGAAUUUAAGCCCCAGUAAACGGCGGCCGUAACUAUAACGGUCCUAAGGUAGCGAAAUUCCUUGUCGGGUAAGUUCCGACCCGC
rnacentral:rRNA from 1 species